UACAGAGGGGGCAAGCGUUGUCCGGAAUUACUGGGCGUACAGCGCGCGCAGGCGGCUUUCUAAGUCCGUCGGUGAAAGACCGGGGCUCAACCCCGUGUCAGCCAUGGAUACUGGGAGGCUGGAGACAGGUAGAGGCAAGCGGAAUUCCGGGUGUAGCGGUGGAAUGCGUAGAUAUCUGGAGGAACACCGGUGGCGAAGGCGGCAUCCUGGACCGAGAUUGACGCUGAUGCGCGAAAGCCAGGGGAGCAAACGGG
rnacentral:rRNA from 1 species